GACGAACGCUGGCGGCGUGCCUAAUACAUGCAAGUCGAGCGGACUUUCAAGAAGCUUGCUUUUUGAAAGUUAGCGGCGGACGGGUGAGUAACACGUGGGCAACCUGCCUGCAAGACGGGGAUAACUCCGGGAAACCGGGGCUAAUACCGGAUAAUAUCUUCCUUCGCAUGAAGGAAGGUUGAAAGGCGGCGCAAGCUGCCGCUUGCAGAUGGGCCCGCGGCGCAUUAGCUAGUUGGUGAGGUAACGGCUCACCAAGGCGACGAUGCGUAGCCGACCGGAGAGGGUGAGCGGCCACACUGGGACUGAGACACGGCCCAGACUCCUACGGGAGGCAGCAGUAGGGAAUCUUCCGCAAGGGACGAAAGUCUGACGGAGCAACGCCGCGGGAGCGAAGAAGGGCGUCGGAUCGUAAAGCUCUGUUGUCAGGGAAGAACAAGUACCGUUCGAACAGGGCGGUACCUUGACGGUACCUGAUCAGAAAGCCACGGCUAACUACGUG
rnacentral:rRNA from 1 species